rnacentral:rRNA from 1 species
UACGGGAGGCAGCAGUGGGGAAUAUUGCACAAUGGGCGCAAGCCUGAUGCAGCCAUGCCGCGUGUAUGAAGAAGGCCUUCGGGUUGUAAAGUACUUUCAGUCGUGAGGAAGGUGUUAAGGUUAAUAACCUUAGCAAUUGACGUUAGCGACAGAAGAAGCACCGGCUAACUCCGUGCCAGCAGCCGCGGUAAUACGGAGGGUGCGAGCGUUAAUCGGAAUUACUGGGCGUAAAGGGCACGCAGGCGGUUAAUUAAGUUGGAUGUGAAAUCCCCGGGCUUAACCUGGGAAUGGCAUUCAAGACUGGUUAGCUAGAGUCUUGUAGAGGGGGUAGAAUUCCAUGUGUAGCGGUGAAAUGCGUAGAGAUGUGGAGGAAUACCGGUGGCGAAGGCGGCCCCUGGACAAAGACUGACGCUCAUGUGCGAAAGCGUGGGGAGCAAACAGGAGUUAGAUACC